AACGGUAUCAUCCGGACUUAAUUAGGUUUUGUUUGAAUUUGGCGUUAAAAAGUUCUAGCACUUACGAUGAACUGCGGAAUUCAAGUCUACUUGUUCUCCCCAGUAGGCGAACGCUCAUUGAUUACAGUUAAAGAAAAUAUUGUCUACAAUCCAAAAAAGGAUAUGAUGGUUGGCUUUGUUGACUUGGGAGAGUCGAGAAAAACAGAGGAAAAAGUUCCUGCACACAAUGCACUGCAAGUUUAUGCACGUAGUUUGAUUGGAAAGUUUUCAAAGCCCUUGACGUUCUAUGCAACAAAUUCCAUCCGCUCAGACCAUCUCACCAGCAUUUUCUGGGAAAG